AAGUCGUAACAAGGUCUCCGUUGGUGAACCAGCGGAGGGAUCAUUACCGAGUUUACAACUCCCAAACCCGAUGUGAACCUUACCUAUCGUUGCUUCGGCGGGACCGCCCCGGCGCCGACUCAGGCCCGGACCCAGGCGCCCGCCGGAGGCCCGAAACUCUUGCUGCUGUCAAGUUUUCUCCUCUGAUUGCACAAAAACAAAAUAAAUCAAAACUUUCAACAACGGAUCUCUUGGUUCUGGCAUCGAUGAAGAACGCAGCGAAAUGCGAUAAGUAAUGUGAAUUGCAGAAUUCAGUGAAUCAUCGAAUCUUUGAACGCACAUUGCGCCCGCCAGUAUUCUGGCGGGCAUGCCUGUUCGAGCGUCAUUUCAACCCUCAGGCCCCGCCUGGCGUUGGGGAUCGGCGCGGCGCGGCUCCCCGGAGCGGCGCUGCCGGCCCCGAAAUUGAGUGGCGGUCUCGCCGUAGUCCUCUGCGUAGUAGCUAACACCUCGCACUGGAACGCGGCGCGGCCAAGCCGUAAAACACCCCACUUCUGAAAGUUGACCUCGGAUCAGGUAGGAAUACCCGCUGAACUUAA
rnacentral:rRNA from 1 species